rnacentral:rRNA from 1 species
UCUUUCUUUGCUGGCGACCGGCGCACGGGUGAGUAGCACGUAUCCAACCUGCCCUUUACUCGGGGAUAGCCUUUCGAAAGAAAGAUUAAUACCCGAUAGCAUAAUGAUUCCGCAUGGUUUCAUUAUUAAAGGAUUCCGGUAAAGGAUGGGGAUGCGUUCCAUUAGGUUGUUGGUGGGGUAACGGCCCACCAAGCCUUCGAUGGAUAGGGGUUCUGAGAGGAAGGUCCCCCACAUUGGAACUGAGACACGGUCCAA